rnacentral:rRNA from 1 species
AGGGUUUGAUUCUGGCUCAGAACGAACGCUGGCGGCAGGCUUAACACAUGCAAGUUGAACGGGAUUUGUGUGGUGCUUGCACCAUAUAAUGAGAGUAGCGCACUGGUGAGUAACACGUGGGAACGUGCCUUUUAGUGGGGGAUAACAUCUGGAAACGGAUGCUAAUACCGCAUACGCCCUGAGGGGGAAAGAUUUAUUGCUAAGAGGUCGGCCCGCGGUAGAUUAGGCAGUUGGUGGGGUAAAGGCCUACCAAACCUACGAUCUAUAGCUGGUCUGAGAGGACGAUCAGCCACAUUGGAACUGAGACACGGUCCAG